CCUACGGGUGGCAGCAGUGAGGAAUAUUGGUCAAUGGGCGAGAGCCUGCACCAGCCAAGUCGCGUGAGGGAGUACUGCCCUAUGUGUUGUAAACCUCUUUUGUCGGGGAACAAAAGCCGGACGUUUCCGGCUGUUAGCGUAACCGGAGAAAAAGCAUCGGCUAACUCCGUGCCAGCAGCCGCGGUAAUACGGAGGAUGCGAGCGUUAUUCGGAUUUAUUGGGUUUAAAGGGUGCGCAGGCGGAUUUGUAAGUCAGCGGUCAAAUCCUGGGGCUCAACCCCAUCCAGCCGUUGAAACUGGGGAUCUCGAGUGUGCGAGAGGUAUGCGGAAUGCGUGGUGUAGCGGUGAAAUGCAUAGAUAUCACGCAGAACUCCGAUUGCGAAGGCAGCAUACCGGUGCAAAACUGACGCUCAGGCACGAAAGCGUGGGUAUCGAACAGGAUUAGAUACCCCUGUAGUC
rnacentral:rRNA from 1 species